CCGAUUAACGAGGCCUCUUGGACUCCCUCUCUCCACACUCCUGGCUAAUGGCCAUCUCUAUUUACCGAGUUAUGUCAACUACAACGUCAAAGACCCUCUCUGCAUCAUAAGUAUUUGCAGUUGAUAUGUGAGGCUAUCAAUGAACCUCCUAAUCCUUUCCCUAUAACCAGGAACCAACCAAACUACAUGAUGGGCCAAAUUAGAAAAUCAUAUCUCGUACCGCAUCACAUACAUGCCCUCCUAGCAUAACUACUCAAACUCUCAACACAGCUCCUCUCUACGAGACUGUGGCACGAACUUCUCCAAGAAGAGAAUAGAGAACUCAUGCCAUGUAAGUGGUGCUGCACCGCCCACCCUACGCCUCACAUAAGCCUCCCUCCAUCUAAAGGCUACCCCAGUAUAUUGAAAAGUAGUGAACAAGACCCCACUAGUCUUCAGAAUACCUGAUGUACAAAGAAACUACUGGCAUCUAUCCAAGAAGUUUUAAGCAUCCUCAGACUCAAUUCUACUGAAUGGUGGAGGUUAGAUCCUCCCAAACCUAUCUAAUCUCCGCUGCUCACCGUCAGUCAUAACAAGAACCAUAUAGCUUGAGCAGCUGCAAGCGGCUGGAUUAGUAAUGUCCCUGAUAUUUGAAAUCCAUGCACUACCAGCUCUGGAGUACACAUGACAGGGUAUGAGUACCUCCCCCGGUCUGAGAAGUGGCUGGUAGGGUCUAAGCUGAAACCGCCUGAGCAAGGAUGGUACAAACCGUCAAUAUAUGUGCUAGAGUCUCCUGGGUUAAAGGGGCGGCAGAGUUGGAAAAAUGAGUAAGGUUUGGGAGGGGGAUUAUGGGUAAUUAAAAAAGAAAAAU
rnacentral:lncRNA from 1 species